CCUACGGGAGGCAGCAGUGAGGAAUAUUGGGCAAUGGCCGGAAGGCUGAACCAGCCAAGCCGCGUGAGGGAGGAAGGCGCAGUGCGUUGUAGACCUCUUUUGUCGGGGGACAAUAGGCCGGACGGGUCCGGUUCUGCGGGUACCCUGCGAAAAAGCAUCGGCUAACUCCGUGCCAGCAGCCGCGGUAAUACGGAGGAUGCGAGCGUUAUCCGGAUUUAUUGGGUUUAAAGGGUGCGUGGGCGGUACUUUAAGUCAGUGGUAAAAUCCCGGGGCUGAACCUGGACGUGCCAUCGGAACUGGGUGACUUGAGUACGGAGGAGGAAUGCGGAAUGCGGGGUGGAGGAGUGAAAUGCAUAGAUAUCGCGCAGAACCCCGAUAGCGAAGGCAGCGUGCCGUGCCGCAACUGACGCUGAGGCACGAAAGCGCGGGGAGCGAACAGGAUUAGAUACCCCAGUAGUC
rnacentral:rRNA from 1 species